rnacentral:misc_RNA from 1 species
AAGUCGUAACAAGGUAACCGUAGGUGAACCUGCGGUUGGAUCAUUAACAAUGGGGUUUCAACCUAUACACACUGUGAACCAUAUUGUCCUUGGCCUCUUUUCUUUGAAUUGGGGGCCGCUAUUUUAACUAUUCUAAAAUGAGUCUUGGAUUUAUUAUUAAAUAAAAACAACUUUUGACAAUGGAUCUCUUGGCUCUC